rnacentral:lncRNA from 1 species
AUUAGUGCCAUUUUGGUUUCAAUUCCCCCCAUUUAGGGCCAUUUUGGGGCCAUUUCCCCCAAUUUAGGCCCAUUUUGGGCCCAUUUAAGGCCAUUUUGGGGCCAUAUUAACCCAUUUAGGGCCAUAUAACUCCUUUAAGUUCAUUUUGGGGCCAUUUCUCACCAUUUAAGCCCAUUUUGGGUCCAUUUCCCCCCAUUUAGGCCCAUUUUGGGGCCAUAUAACCCCAUUUAGGGCCAUAUAACCCCUUUUAGGGCCAUUUUGGGGUCAAUUCCCCCCAUUUAGGGCCAUUUUGGGCUAAUUUAAGCCCAUUUUGGGGUCAAUUCCCUCCAUUUAGGGCCAUUUUGGGCCCAUUUGGGGCCAUUUUGGGCCCAUUUAAGCCCAUUUUGGGGCCAUUUCUCCCCAUUUAAGCCCAUUUUGGGGCCAUUUCUCCCCAUUUAGGGCCAUUUCUCCCCAUUUAAGGCAAUUUUGGGGCCAUUUCCCCCCAUUUAGGGCCAUUUUGGGGCCAUUUAACCCCAUUUAGGGCCAUAUAACCCCUUUUAGGGCCAUUUUGGGGUCAAUUCCCCCCAUUUAGGGCCAUAUAACCCCUUUUAGGGCCAUUUUGGGGUCAAUUCCCCCCAUUUAAGCCCAUUUUGGGGCCAUUUCCCCCCAUUUAGGCCCAUUAUGGGGCCAUAUAAACCCAUUUAGGGCCAUAUAACCCCUUUUAGGGCCAUUUUGGGGUCAAUUCCCCCCAUUUAGGCCCAUUAUGGGGCCAUAUAACCCCAUUUAGGGCCAUAUAACCCCUUUUAGGGCCAUUUUGGGGUCAAUUCCCCCCAUUUAGGGCCAUUUUGGGCCCAUUUAAGCCCAUUUUGGGGUCAAUUCCCCCCAUUUAGGGCCAUUAUUGGGGCUCAAUUUUGGAGGGACCAAUUUGGGGCCAUUUCCCACCCCAUUUAAGUC